rnacentral:rRNA from 1 species
GACGAACGCUGGCGGCGUGCUUAACACAUGCAAGUCGAACGGAAAGGCCCUGCUUUUGUGGGGUGCUCGAGUGGCGAACGGGUGAGUAACACGUGAGUAACCUGCCCUUGACUUUGGGAUAACUUCAGGAAACUGGGGCUAAUACCGGAUAGGAGCUCCUGCUGCGUGGUGGGGGUUGGAAAGUUUCGGCGGUUGGGGGUGGACUCGCGGCUUAUCAGCUUGUUGGUGGGGUAGUGGCUUACCCAGGCUUUGACGGGUAGCCGGCCUGAGAGGGUGACCGGCCACAUUGGGACUGAGAUACGGCCCAGACUCCUACGGGAGGCAGCAGUGGGGAAUAUUGCACAAUGGGCGGAAGCCUGAUGCAGCAACGCCGCGUGCGGGAUGACGGCCUUCGGGUUGUAAACCGCUUUCGCCUGUGACGAAGCGUGAGUGACGGUAAUGGGUAAAGAAGCACCGGCUAACUACGUG